rnacentral:lncRNA from 1 species
AACAACACAACACAUAACACACAUAUGAUACUGGAAUACAUCCAUUCAUAUCAUAUGCCAUACAUUCAUUAUGCAAUGAGACUCUAUGCAUGCGGUACCGACUAUUUGUGAACAUAUAGUUCAACCUCACCGUCCAAAUCCAGGCACGGCUACCAAGCUCACUAGUCCCACUCAUUUGAGACAUAGUGACUCACUCACUAAUUCCUCACCAUGGGAAUUAGCUACCACCCCAAAUGGGCCAUGAAAUGCACGCUAAUCACCUAGCAUGCAAACA